GUCUCUCCUGUAUUCCAGCUUAAACAAGUAAGAUGCUUGAGGCUUCCAUGAUGGCCGGGCAACAUUGCGGCUCCCCCCUCCUUUUAAAAAACUUUUAAUUUUAUUUUAAGGAUUUUCUUUUCUUUUUGGUAGCGUAGAUAUAGCAAAGCUGUUCCGAUUCCUUGUGUGCUUUCUGCACACCCCCAAAAAUCCCAGCCUGCGAAACUCCUUGCCGAGAAAUCCCGAGAAAUUGCUGAGACGUGGGAAGAUCCGACCCUCCAAAGUCACUCACAAGAGGCCUGCUGCGACUUGCUUUUUCAAUGCAUGUAUUUAUUGAUUUACGAUCCUUGGCGGUUUUGGGUUGGGAAAAGGUUACCUGGCAGCUUGCGCCAAAGUCGUUGUAAUGGCUUCGCGUUCCUCGUAUGCUGUAGGUUGAAAGAUUCCCGCCGUGGAUGUGCACUAAACGGGAGUUUAAUGGUGGUGACUGAGCCGCAGUUAAGUCGUCUUGCUUAGGUGUGCUUCCCCCCCGCCCCCUUCUAUCUUUUGUCUCUUUUCUUUCUCCAGGUAGACUGAAGGAAGUUUUGUUUUAAAAAAAAGAAAGAAGAAGUAUCAGGUUUUGUCUGCUUUGAGAUGGAAGGUGAGGGGGGUGGGGAUGGCUGAAACCUCGCAAAUCCAAACGUUCACCUUACAACUGGCCAAACCAGUUGGGGCAGGUAGCAGCAAAGUUGCAAGGCAUUCAAUAGGAGGCAGCCAAUGGGGGGGGGGGACCUUAGUCUCUCGUGCCCUGAUCUUGACAAAGGAGGCAGAUUUGGGAUCGGUGGUGAUGACUGAAUCACGGCAGUUAGGCGAGGGGGGUGGAAAGCACUCAGUUGACCAAGAGAUGAAGAGCGAUCCAAGCAGCCCAUGGUUUGUAUCUCUCACUGAAUCCUAAAUGUCUUUUCCCUCCUUGUUGGUGAGCUGUGCCUUGCUUAAUUCUUUCCCAUCUUUAUCCCUUCCCCACUGCUAAAAGAGAAAUAAAUGGUUGUGACCCUGUUUAACAAGGACAGGGGGCAGUUUAAGCGCAGGGGGGUAACAGAUAUUUAAAAGCACAUACAUUGGAAAGCAGUAAUUUCUGUUCUCCUAAUGUUAAAAUGGUAAAUAAUGGUAUGAUGUGUAAGUGGUAAAGGGGAUGGGAUUUGAUUCUUGGAUUAAGGUUUUGGCAAUUAACUAGAGGAUGCAGAGAUCUUGAUUCUGUCCAGAGUGUUUGCAGUUUGGCUUAAAGGAGCCAUUUUGAGUUGGUCUCCUCGUUCUUUCCUCUCCACUGCCUCCCAUAACCGCUGCAGGUCUAUCCCUGUGUUAUAAGAGAGCCUCUUUGCUUCCUCAUAAUCUUUCUUCCAGUUCUCUCACCAGAGCUCCGCUUCCAUGCCUAACCUGUCUCUACUUGCUGCUUUGAGUUGGGCACUGAGAAAGAAAGAGACACCAGAUUCUCUUUCAAAGGGGAGAAUAACUCCUCACAUCUGAAGCCUUCUGUGCCAGUCGGUGUGGAGGGAUGUUGAGUGGAUCAAAAUGGUUUGCGCAGGAGGAAAAUGAUUGAAAUAAUGGCUUUCAAAGAAAAGAAACCCUUGACUUUUUGUCAACUUUUCCUUUGGCCUGUUGGGCUGCUGAUGCUUGGGUGUGUGUGUGUGUUUGUGUUGUUGACACAGUAAACCGGGUGAGAGUUUUAAGAUGUGUAUGUGUGUGUGUUUUGUAAGCACGCAAAAAUGGUUCUCGUCAUCCGUUGUUGGCUCCAAAAGCAGGAAAAGGCAGUUGGGCGUUGUGGACUUUAGGGGAGUUGACGCAGAGCGCUCUGUUCGGCUUUCACUUCUUGGAAAAGGUUCUGGAAUGUUCCUCUGUGUCCGCCUUCACCAACCCGGUGCCCUCCAGAAGUUUGGGAAUCAAUCCAAAAUAUCUGGAGGGCACCAGGUUGGCAAAGACUGCUUUGUGUGUUCUUCCAAAGUGAGGAGUGGGGGUGGGGAUGGCCACACAAGACAAGAAACGGUUUUGAUUUGCUUGGUGUUCUUUGCUUUUUUUCCUUUUUCCUUUUUCGAAAGGUCUCCUGAAACCAAUCUUGAUUUCAAUACUAUCCAAUCUCAUUACAUUUCAACACAGAAGCCAGGAGAAAAUGAUUACAGAAAAAGAAGGGAUCUGUCAGCAGGGCUAACUUCUUUUAUAUUUACCUCCAUCAAAGCCCGUUAAUUAGAUUUCAUCCCUCUCCACAUAGCCCUUCUCCAAUAUAAACCUGCUUCUAAAGCUGCAAUUCUUCAGACAGUUACUAGGGAGUAAGUCUAGGGAUUUACUAGGGAUUUACUCCUGAGUAAGGAAGCUUAGACUUGUACUGCAUGGCUAGUACCGAUAUUUAAUGGGGCCAUUAUCCUGUUGUGCUUGCAUAAGCCUUACAAAGUUUAUGGGAUUGCUCCAGGCUGAUAUCUCACUGAACUCAAGGUCAAAACUCCUACCUGGGUUUGAAUGGAUAAUAAAAAUACUUAGCAGGAAUGUAGCAUUCUUGAACGUUUCAGGCGUUCCACACGUAUAUGAUCUUGUUGCCUUCCUUACGGCCGUAGUAUUAUCAUUUCCAUAUUGCAAAAGCGGGGUGUGGGGGCAUGAGUCUGAGGAUGCAAUCUUAUUCAGGGCACCUUUCAGAUGAGAAUGCAGGAUAAGGCAUUUGCUAAAAUCAAUUCGCAAAAACAAAUUUGGUGGGGUUUUUCUUUUUUCCCUUUUUUAAUUUUUUGUAAAGGCCCUCUUGUGAACUCGUGGCAAAGGUGAGAUUACCGGAUUUGUUGCGUCCAGGGGCUUUCCAUAUAUUUCCCGCUCUUCCAGAUAUUUUUGAAUUAUCAGAAAGGCAACCAUCACAAGCUGUUUGUGCUGUAUCAAAAGAGCUCUUGUCUGAAAUAUGGGGAACUUGUGACACAUCGGUGCUCCCUCAAAUAGGCUUAUGGCACACUCCUGCCCAAGUCUUUUCAGAAACAAGUCCCGCUGGUUUCAAUGAUUAUUUCUCCCAGAUAAGUGGAUAUAAGAUUGCAGCCUUUAGAGAGCUAUUAAUUUGAAAACGAAAUGUGGGUCUUAAUGUGUACACUAAGGUAUGAUGGACAGUUUUUGAAUGAACAACUCUGCAGUCCUCCAAACUGGUAGAUAGUUCAGAAAAGGCUGUUUCCCCCGUGUCUGCGACUCUAAAAUUCUGUAGUAUCUCACAUUCACAUUUUAAACCUUAUCAAUAAGAUCCUACACCUUAAUAGUGCCUUCAACUUGAAUGGUAUUACCUUUGAAGAAGUACUCGCUAAAUUAUAGCAUGGGCACCUGAUCCCAACCAUAUUUACUUUGGAGUAAGUUCCAUUUCCCCCCCCCAGUGGGAAAUAGUAUCUUUAGGACUUCCAUCCUAGAGCAAUGUUUCAUGAAAAUCCAUGACACUCCCAAGAAAACCUUUUUUAGGUGAAAAUCAGGUUAGGGUGCUAAAUGUAGGUUGCUUAAUUUUGUGGAUUCAAUUACUCAGUAGUACAGUAAGUUCCACUAAGUGUAAUAUGACCUGAACCCCAACAAAGAGCACAUAGUAUUAUUUUUUUUCAAAACAGUUUGGAAUUUUAACUGUGCAACCUUGGAAGUAAGUUCUGUUGACAUCAGUGGCGCUUAUUCUCAAAUAGGUGUGCUGAGGACUGCACCUUUAAAAUCACUAUUAUUAUUAUUAUUUU
rnacentral:lncRNA from 1 species